rnacentral:rRNA from 1 species
GAUGAACGCUGGCGGCGUGCCUAAUACAUGCAAGUCGAGCGAACGGACGAGAAGCUUGCUUCUCUGAUGUUAGCGGCGGACGGGUGAGUAACACGUGGAUAACCUACCUAUAAGACUGGGAUAACUUCGGGAAACCGGAGCUAAUACCGGAUGAUAUUUUGAACCGCAUGGUUCAAAAGUGAAAGACGGUCUUGCUGUCACUUAUAGAUGGAUCCGCGCUGCAUUAGCUAGUUGGUAAGGUAACGGCUUACCAAGGCAACGAUGCAUAGCCGACCUGAGAGGGUGAUCGGCCACACUGGAACUGAGACACGGUCCAGACUCCUACGGGAGGCAGCAGUAGGGAAUCUUCCGCAAUGGGCGAAAGCCUGACGGAGCAACGCCGCGUGAGUGAUGAAGGUCUUCGGAUCGUAAAACUCUGUUAUUAGGGAAGAACAUAUGUGUAAGUAACUGUGCACAUCUUGACGGUACCUAAUCAGAAAGCCACGGCUAACUACGUGCCAGCAGCCGCGGUAAUACGUAGGUGGCAAGCGUUAUCCGGAAUUAUUGGGCGUAAAGCGCGCGUAGGCGGUUUUUUAAGUCUGAUGUGAAAGCCCACGGCUCAACCGUGGAGGGUCAUUGGAAACUGGAAAACUUGAGUGCAGAAGAGGAAAGUGGAAUUCCGUGUGUAGCGGUGAAAUGCGCAGAGAUAUGGAGGAACACCAGUGGCGAAGGCGACUUUCUGGUCUGUAACUGACGCUGAUGUGCGAAAGCGUGGGGAUCAAACAGGAUUAGAUACCCUGGUAGUCCACGCCGUAAACGAUGAGUGCUAAGUGUUAGGGGGUUUCCGCCCCUUAGUGCUGCAGCUAACGCAUUAAGCACUCCGCCUGGGGAGUACGACCGCAAGGUUGAAACUCAAAGGAAUUGACGGGGACCCGCACAAGCGGUGGAGCAUGUGGUUUAAUUCGAAGCAACGCGAAGAACCUUACCAAAUCUUGACAUCCUUUGACAACUCUAGAGAUAGAGCCUUCCCCUUCGGGGGACAAAGUGACAGGUGGUGCAUGGUUGUCGUCAGCUCGUGUCGUGAGAUGUUGGGUUAAGUCCCGCAACGAGCGCAACCCUUAAGCUUAGUUGCCAUCAUUAAGUUGGGCACUCUAAGCUGACUGCCGGUGACAAACCGGAGGAAGGUGGGGAUGACGUCAAAUCAUCAUGCCCCUUAUGAUUUGGGCUACACACGUGCUACAAUGGACAAUACAAAGGGCAGCGAAACCGCGAGGUCAAGCAAAUCCCAUAAAGUUGUUCUCAGUUCGGAUUGUAGUCUGCAACUCGACUACAUGAAGCUGGAAUCGCUAGUAAUCGUAGAUCAGCAUGCUACGGUGAAUACGUUCCCGGGUCU